rnacentral:rRNA from 1 species
CGUCUCCUUGCCUUCGGGGCGGACAAGACAGGUGCUGCAUGGUUGUCGUCAGCUCGUGUCGUGAGAUGUUGGGUUAAGUCCCGCAACGAGCGCAACCCUUAUUCUUAUUUGCCAGCGGUUCGGCCGGGAACUCUUGGGGAACUGCCCGGGGUAACCUGGGAGAAGGGGGGGAUGAACUCCAAUCCUCCUGGCCCUUUUGAUCUGGGCUACCCCCCUGCUUACAUGGCUCAAACCAAAAGAAUCCAAACCGCGAGGGGGAUGAAAUCCCCAAAAUAACGACCCAAUUCGGAAUGGAAGUCGGCACUCCCCUGCCCUAAACUGGAAUCCCUAAUAAUCCCCAAUCCAAAUGGCCCGGUGAAUACCUUCCCCGGUCUUGGACACACCGGAA